rnacentral:rRNA from 1 species
GACGAACGCUGGCGGCGUGCCUAAUACAUGCAAGUUGAGCGCUGAAGAUUGGUGCUUGCACCAAUUUGAAGAGCAGCGAACGGGUGAGUAACGCGUGGGGAAUCUGCCUUUGAGCGGGGGACAACAUUUGGAAACGAAUGCUAAUACCGCAUAACAACUUUAAACAUAAGUUUUAAGUUUGAAAGAUGCAAUUGCAUCACUCAAAGAUGAUCCCGCGUUGUAUUAGCUAGUUGGUGAGGUAAAGGCUCACCAAGGCGAUGAUACAUAGCCGACCUGAGAGGGUGAUCGGCCACAUUGGGACUGAGACACGGCCCAAACUCCUACGGGAGGCAGCAGUAGGGAAUCUUCGGCAAUGGACGAAAGUCUGACCGAGCAACGCCGCGUGAGUGAAGAAGGUUUUCGGAUCGUAAAACUCUGUUGGUAGAGAAGAACGUUGGUGAGAGUGGAAAGCUCAUCAAGUGACGGUAACUACCCAGAAAGGGACGGCUAACUACGUG